AUGGCACAGACUUAGGUCACCAAGAGGAAAGUCUGUUACUACUACGACGGGGAUGUUGGAAACUACUUUUAUGGACAAGGGCACCCAAUGAAGCCUCACCGAAGCAGAAUGACUCAUAAUUUGCUGCCCAACUAUGGUCUCUACCAAAAGACGGAAAUCUAUCAAAGCCACUGCUGAGGAGAUGACUAAGUACCACAGCGAGGACUACAUUAAAUUCUUGCGUUCUAUUCGCCCAGAUAAGAUGUCUGAAUACAGCGAGCAGAUGCAGAGAUUCAACGUGGGUGGGGACUGUCCGGUAUUUAAAUGGCUUGUUUGAGUUCUAUCAGUUGUCCACGGGUGGCUCUGUAGCAAGUGCUGUGAAACUCAAUAAGCAGCAGACAGACAUCGCUGUGAAUUGGGCUGGGGCCCUGCACCAUGCAAACAAGUCUGAAGCAUCUGGCUUCUGUUACGUCCAUGAUAUCGUCUUGGCCAUCCUGGAACUGCUAAAGUAUCUCCAGAGGCUGCUGUAUAUUGACAUUGAUAUUCACUAUGGCGAUGGCAUGGAAGAGGCCUUCUAUACUACAGACGGGGUCAUGACUGUGUCCUUUCAUAAAUACGGAGAGUACUUCCCAGGAACUGGGGACCUACGGGAUAUUGGGGCUGGCAAAGGCAAGUACUACGCCGUUAACUACCCACUGCGAGACGGCAUUGAUGAUGAGGCCUAUGAAGCCAUUUUCAAGCCAGUCAUGUCCAAAGCAAUGGAGAUGUUCCAGCCUAGUGCAGUGGACCUACAGUGCAGCUCAGACUCCCUGUCUGGGGAUCGGCUAGGUUGCUUCAAUCUGACCAUCAAAGGACACGCCAAGCGUGUGGAGUUCGUGAAGAGUUUCAACUUGCCGAUGCUAAUGUUGAGAGGAGGUGGCUACACCAUCCGUAAUGUCGCUCGGUGCUGGAUUUACAAGACAGCUGUGGCCCUGGACACAGAGAUCCCUAAUGACCUACCAUACAAUGACAACUUUGAAUACUUUGGACCAGAUUUCAAGCCUCACAUCAGCCCUUCCAAUAUGACUAACCAGAACACUAAUGAAUACCUGGAGAAGAUCAAGCAGCGGCUCUUUGAGAACUUGAGAAUGCUGCCCCAUGCCCCUGAGGUCCAAAUGCAGGCCAUCCCAGAGGAUGCCAUCCCAGAAGAGAGCGGUGGUGAGGAUGAGGAAGACCCUGACAAACGAAUUUCCAUCUGCUCCUCUGACAAAUGCAUUGCCUGUGAGGAGGAAUUCCCUGAUUCUGAUGAGGAGGGAGAAGGAGGUCGCGAGAACUCUCCUAACUUCAAAAAAGCCAAGAGUCAAAACAGAAGAUGAGAAAGAAAAAGAUCCUGAAGAGGAAAAAGAAGUCACAGAAGAGGAGAAAACCAAGGAGGAGAAGCCAGAAGCCAAGGGGUCAAAGAAGAGGUCAAGAUGGCCUGA